rnacentral:ncRNA from 1 species
UAACCGAAAAUGUAAGUGUUCGCUGAGCUCUCAGAAGUCAGCCGAAGCCGUAGUACUAAAUAUUUCUAGGAAGGGC